rnacentral:misc_RNA from 1 species
AGAAUCGCAGCAACGUAUUGAGAUCGCGCUCAAUCGUCUCUGGCGUUGCCACGGUGAUGCGAUACUCGCCGGUUUCGUCGACAAGCCUCAACAGACGCCUGAUCUUCUGUCUGGUGUUGGAACUCAACAUAUUGAGAUAAGCGUUCCAGUCCGGCGGAAGUGCCGCGAACGGGCAGAGAUUGUUGUCGAUGUUGUCGACUUUACCGAUACGAUUGAUUUCACUGGUCUGGAAACCGGCUUUCGGAAAAUGCGCCAGAAGAAGCCGGAUGCGCGGCUCUGACAUACGAAU